UACGUAGGGUGCGAGCGUUGUCCGGAAUUAUUGGGCGUAAAGGGCUCGUAGGCGGUUUGUCGCGUCGGGAGUGAAAUCCACUGGCUUAACUGGUGGCUUGCUUUCGAUACGGGCAGGCUAGAGUGUGGUAGGGGAGAUCGGAAUUCCUGGUGUAGCGGUGAAAUGCGCAGAUAUCAGGAGGAACACCGGUGGCGAAGGCGGAUCUCUGGGCCAUUACUGACGCUGAGGAGCGAAA
rnacentral:rRNA from 1 species